rnacentral:rRNA from 1 species
CCUACGGGUGGCAGCAGUGAGGAAUAUUGGUCAAUGGCCGAGAGGCUGAACCAGCCAAGUCGCGUGAGGGAAGAAUGUCCUAUGGAUUGUAAACCUCUUUUGUCAGGGAGCAAAGUCACCCACGCGUGGGCGUUGGAGAGUACCUGAAGAAACAGCAUCGGCUAACUCCGUGCCAGCAGCCGCGGUAAUACGGAGGAUGCGAGCGUUGUCCGGAAUUAUUGGGUUUAAAGGGUGCGUAGGCGGGUUAUCAAGUCAGCGGUAAAAUCGUGGAGCUCAACUCCAUCCAGCCGUUGAAACUGAUGAUCUAGAGUGGGCGAGAGGUAUGUGGAAGGCGAGGUGUAGCGGUGAAAUGCAUAGAUAUCACGCAGAACUCCGAUUGCGAAGGCAGCAUACCGGCGCCCGACUGACGCUGAAGCACGAAAGCGUGGGGAUCGAACAGGAUUAGAUACCCGGGUAGUC